GUGUAAGAAUCUGAUGUUUAUGCUGAAUUUUAUCCUCCAUCACUAAUUUGAUAUCAGGAAUACCAUUUUAAAGGCUUUUAGAACUCAGGUAUUAUUUUCAUAAGAAUAGCAUAAAGACUACUUCAUAGGAAAUACAGAAGGCGCUCUGAGGUAUUAUUACACCUCAUGAAGCUGUCUAGAGACAUUAACUCACAAUUUUAGUUAAAUGGAGCAGUAACUUUCUGGUUAUUCUCCAACAAGAAUAAUACUUUGAUAAAGAAAUUUUCACAAUGUAAGGCUACUGCCCCAGCAGCAGAGUUCACAGACUCUGGAGAUGACCAUCUGGAAGGACAGACCAGUUCAGAGGAGGCCAUAAGAGUUUGGAUGACAAUUUGACCUUUGGCCAGGAAAUGGAGGCAAGGCCUAUGAUUAGCUGAAGAAAUACCAAAAUUCUUGUGUUUACACUGUGAAUUUUGUAGGAGUCAUUUUUAAUUUUUAAUAAAAGUACUCAAGUAAUUGAAAUAUAUACUUGAUGUCCAGGGAAUAUUGAUAUAUCAAACCAAAGGUGUAUUGUUUUUAUUUGGCCAUUCAUGUUUUGGGGUGGUUUUCAAAGAUUUAGAAACACAAAAAUUGAUUAGUAGUAAACUCUGGUUAAAUGACCCACAGCUGCUUUUGAGUCAAAGCACAUGUCUCUGUUUUCUGUUAUUUUUCAGUUAAUAAAAUUAUUCAUUAACAUGCAACCCCUGAUUCCAUUAUAAUCUAUUUUCAUGAGUAUAUAAAAUAUUAAGAUAAUCACAAAAUACUGAAGAUAGCUAUCAAUAUAUCAGCAAAGGUUUUCAAUAAAGUUUUAGAAUCAAGUUGAUUAUAAUUAAAAACAGUGAGGAAAAAGGAAGAUAGUGGCUAGCAAUUCCCUCUUGUGGGGAUUAUGGUAAUGGUUUUUCAUUUUUUACUUUCGGAGCUAUAAUUAAAGCAUAUCCUCUAAGGACAUGUGUACCACCAGGAUCUGAAAAGCCAUACAAACCAUCCAUUGUAUAACGUAUCUCUGAAAAUGAAGUAAGUAUUGAACAGAGGUAUUUGGGGAGCUUGGAGAUCAUGACAUUGCUUCACCUACAGCAGUAUGUGAUGGAGCCUUUGCACAAAUCUCUCCUCCAGGCAUAAAGAAUCUAUACUUUAUAAUAGUUGUCAAGGGUAUCUACUGCGACUCAGUAAUUCAGAGUUUUAAUCACACACACAUUUAAGGAACAUGAUAAAUCAGGGCAUAAGGGUUUAUUAUUAUUAUUAUUAUUAUUAUUAUUAUUAUUAUUAUUAUUUUACCUGAUUGUCAGAAAGCCACAAUGCUGCAAGCUCUUUGAGUUUGGUGAAAGAGAAUGGCAAAUUCUUC
rnacentral:lncRNA from 1 species